UCAGUACCGUGAGGGAAAGGCGAAAAGAACCCCGGGAGGGGAGUGAAAUAGAUCCUGAAACCGUGUGCGUACAAGCAGUAGGAGCUCGCAAGAGUGACUGCGUACCUUUUGUAUAAUGGGUCAGCGACUUACUGUUCGUGGCAAGCUUAACCGUAUAGGGGAGGCGAAGGGAAACCGAGUCUGAUAAGGGCGCAUAGUCGCGGGCAGUAGACCCGAAACCGGGUGAUCUAGUCAUGGCCAGGGUGAAGGUGCCGUAACAGGUACUGGAGGCCCGAACCCACGUCUGUUGCAAAAGACGGGGAUGAGCUGUGAUUAGGAGUGAAAAGCUAAUCGAACCCGGAGAUAGCUGGUUCUCCUCGAAAGCUAUUUAGGUAGCGCCUCGGACGAAUACUACUGGGGGUAGAGCACUGUUAUGGCUAGGGGGUCAUCGCGACUUACCAAACCAUUGCAAACUCCGAAUACCAGUACGUACUAUCCGGGAGACACACGGCGGGUGCUAACGUCCGUCGUGAAAAGGGAAACAACCCAGACCCACAGCUAAGGUCCCAAAUUCACUGCUAAGUGGAAAACGAUGUGGAAAGGCAUAGACAGCCAGGAGGUUGGCUUAGAAGCAGCCACCCUUUAAAGAAAGCGUAAUAGCUCACUAGUCGAGUCGGCCUGCGCGGAAGAUGUAACGGGGCUAAGCCAGUCACCGAAGCUGCGGAUAUGUCUUUGACAUAUGGUAGGAGAGCGUUCUGUAAGCCUGCGAAGGUGUCUUGUAAAGGAUGCUGGAGGUAUCAGAAGUGCGAAUGCUGACAUGAGUAGCGAUAAUGCGGGUGAAAAGCCCGCACGCCGUAAGCCCAAGGUUUCCUGUUCAACGUUCAUCGGAGCAGGGUGAGUCGGCCCCUAAGGCGAGGCAGAGAUGCGUAGCUGAUGGGAAGCAGGUUAAUAUUCCUGCACCGUCGUAUGAUGCGAUGGGGGGACGGAUCGCGGAAGGU
rnacentral:rRNA from 1 species